AAAAAUACCAUGUCCAGUGUUGUAUAUUUACAUGGAAAUUUUGUAGGAAUAUCCGUUCUAAUAAAAAAUUACUUAGAGCACUCACUACGAGUUACAUUAGCCUACCCCAACUUGUUUGGAACUAAAGGCUUUGUUGUUGUUCUUGUUGUUGUACUGACUACGAGUUACAUGAAAGUCGGUGCAUGCCCUUUUAAAUAACUCACCACCAAGUCCUAAUCAGCAAUGGAGUUUAUUCCUUCCAACCAAAGAAGUGGUUUAUGAUCUGAAAAAUAGAACCAUAAACAUUUAGUGAAGAGUAACCUAAAGUAGUAGCGAAUGACAAGAGCAUCCAUAUGUCCGAAUAUAUGUGCAACACUACAUGAACUGUAAAUCAUAGAUAUAUGAACAUCAUGGUUUCCACUUUCCAAAAAAAAAAAUCAAACACAAAUUCAACCUGAUUAGUACAGGCCGAGGUCUUUCAUUUUUUCUUGAAUUUAUCUUACCUAUUUUUAUGUUCACUAAUCAUCUCAGAUCUAUUGGAACAACAUACAUUACUGGAUUGUGUUCGUCUCCAAUAUAGUUACAGUGGAACAAUCAUAAGCACUCAUCUGAUGGGAAAUAAGCCAAGCUUGAGAGGCAUGAGACAUAUUUUACAUAUUGGGAAAAGCUUAGCUGAUCACAAGGCACAUCUGAUACUUGCAAGUGGCACUACCUCACUGUAAAAUGCUACAAAUAGGCAUAUGCCAAUAUGCAUUGGUUUACCGAAGAAAAUCUAAAAAUGCUUAGUUUUAUUGUAUUCAACAUAUUUUUUCAAACCCUUAAAAUACUCCAUCGAUAAUUAUUAUGAUCAACUAUAUUUAUGAUGAUCAUUCUAAAAUACAUUUAAGAAUUUUCUAGAACUAACGUAUUAUAUAAAUUUGAGAGCAACAUCUUAAUGAUGGAAUUACCAAGAAGGCGUGUACUACGUUGAGCAUCAUCUUAAC
rnacentral:lncRNA from 1 species